GAUGAACGCUGGCGGCGUGCCUAAUACAUGCAAGUCGAGCGAACGGACGAGAAGCUUGCUUCUCUGAUGUUAGCGGCGGACGGGUGAGUAACACGUGGAUAACCUACCUAUCAUACUGGGAUAACUUCGGGAAACCGGAGCUAAUACCGGAUAAUAUUUUGAACCGCAUGGUUCAAAAGUGAAAGACGGUCUUGCUGUCACGUAUAGAUGGAUCCGCGCUGCAUUAGCUAGUUGGUAAGGUAACGGCUUACCAAGGCAACGAUGCAUAGCCGACCGGAGAGGGUGAUCGGCCACACUGGAACUGAGACACGGUCCAGACUCCUACGGGAGGCAGCAGUAGGGAAUCUUCCGCAAUAGGCGAAAGCCUGACGGAGCAACGCCGCGUGAGUGAUGAAGGUCUUCGGAUCGUAAAACUCUGUUAUUAGGGAAGAACAUAUGUGUAAGUAACUGUGCACAUCUUGACGGUACCUAAUCAGAAAGCCACGGCUAACUACGUG
rnacentral:rRNA from 1 species